rnacentral:rRNA from 1 species
GAUAAACGCUGGCGGCGUGCCUAAUGCAUGCAAGCUGAACGGCCCGAUUUAUCGGGCAGUGGCGAACGGGUGAGUAACACGUAAGAACCAACCCUCAAGUGGGGGAUAACCCCGAGAAAUCGGGGCUAAUACCGCAUGAGCUCCCCGAUUAUGUCGGGGAGGAAAGCUGAGGCGCUUGAGGACGGGCUUGCGUCCGAUUAGCUAGUUGGUGUGGUAAUGGCUCACCAAGGCUGAGAUCGGUAGCUGGUUUGAGAGGACGAUCAGCCACACUGGGAUUGAGAUACGGCCCAGACUCCUACGGGAGGCAGCAGCAGGGAAUAUUGCGCAAUGGGUGAAAGCCUGACGCAGCAACGCCGCGUGGGGGAAGAAGGUCUUCGGGUUGUAAACCCCUUUUCUCGGGGAAGAUAAUGACGGUACCCGAGGAAUAAGUCUCGGCUAACUACGUGCCAGCAGCCGCGGUAAGACGUAGGAGGCGAGCGUUAUCCGGAUUUACUGGGCGUAAAGGGCGUGUAGGCGGCCCUUCAAGUCUUUGGUGAAAUCUCCCGACUCAAUUGGGAGGGUGCCAGAGAAACUGGAGAGCUUGAGGACAGCAGAGGGGGGUGGAAUUCCCGGUGUAGUGGUGAUAUGCG